rnacentral:lncRNA from 1 species
AAUAGAACUUAAACUCUUACGAUCAAACUAUUAAAAACGGAAACACACCACACUCACACACCUAAACAAAGAAGCACACUAAACACACUAAGCACACCACACCCACACACCAAGUUUAUAGAAGAACAUUUAUUUUGUGCUACUGUACUCCUCUUUCCUUUGCUCUUUUGUUUCAAAGUUAGUGUGACACUUCAAAUACUCAAACUUUCCACCAUGUGUAGCGGACAUAGUAUCUUUUUCAGCUUUCUGGUCUGCAAAUAUGUUGUUGUUGUCACUUUGGGUGUCGUCGAAGUCUUUGUUGCUGCUGUUGGUGUUGUUGUCGCUUGUUACUGCUGGAGCCAUUAAACCGAACAAAUUUUCUACAACAAAUCAAAUAAAAUGAUAUUAACUAUGUAAUUUGGGUAUGGAGUAUGGACAUCAACCCUGUUACUUGUUAC